rnacentral:rRNA from 1 species
GUAGGGAAUCUUCCACAAUGGACGAAAGUCUGAUGGAGCAACGCCGCGUGAGUGAAGAAGGUCUUCGGAUCGUAAAACUCUGUUGUUAGAGAAGAACGUGCAUGAUAGUAACUGAUCAUGUAAUGACGGUAUCUAACCAGAAAGCCACGGCUAACUACGUGCCAGCAGCCGCGGUAAUACGUAGGUGGCAAGCGUUGUCCGGAUUUAUUGGGCGUAAAGGGAACGCAGGCGGUUUUUUAAGUCUGAUGUGAAAGCCUUCGGCUUAACCGAAGAAUAGCAUUGGAAACUGGAAGACUUGAGUGCAGAAGAGGAGAGUGGAAUUCCAUGUGUAGCGGUGAAAUGCGUAGAUAUAUGGAGGAACACCGGUGGCGAAGGCGACUUGCUGGGCAGCAACUGACGCUGAGGCGCGAAAGCCAGGGGAGCAAACGGGAUUAGAUACCCGAGUAGUCC